CACGUAGGGGGCAAGCGUUGUCCGGAUUUAUUGGGCGUAAAGAGCUCGUAGGCGGUUCGGUAAGUCGGGUGUGAAACCUCCAGGCUCAACCUGGAGACGCCACCCGAUACUGUCGUGACUAGAGUCCAGUAGGGGAGCGUGGAAUUCCUGGUGUGAGCGGUGAAAUGCGCAGAUAUCAGGAGGAACACCGGUGGCGAAGGCGGGUC
rnacentral:rRNA from 1 species